rnacentral:rRNA from 1 species
AUUGAACGCUGGCGGCAGGCCUAACACAUGCAAGUCGAACGAGUGGCGGACGGGUGAGAAAUGUCUGGGAAACUGCCUGAUGGGGGGGGAUAACUACUGAAAACGGUCGCUAAUACCGCAUACCAUCGGAUGUACCCAGAUGGGAUUAGCUUGUUGGUGGGGUAACGGCUAACCAGGGCGACGACCCCUAGCUGGUCUGAGAGGAUGACCAGCCACAUUGGAACUGAGACACGGUCCAGACUCCUACGGGAGGAAGCAGUGGGGAAUAUUGCACAAUGGGCGCAAGCCUGAUGCAGCCAUGCCGCGUGUAUGAAGAAGGCCUUCGGGUUGUAAAGUACUUUCAGCGGGGAGGCGUUACCCGCAGAAGAAGCACCGGCUAACUCCGUGCCAGCAGCCGCGGUAAUAC